GCCAGGCACAGUGGCGUGUGCCUGUAGUCCCAGCUACUUGGGAGGCUGAGGUGCAAGGAUCGCUUGAGCCCCAGAGUUCUGGGCUGCAGUGCACUAUGCCAAUCGGGUGUUUGCGCUAAGUUCGGCAUCAAGAUGGUGACCUCCAGGGAGUGGGGGGCCACCAGGUUGCCUAAGGAGGGGUGAACUGGCCCAGGUCAGAAACGGAGCAGGUCAGAACUCCUGUGCUGAUCGGUGGUGGGAUCAUGCCUGUGAAUAGCCACUGCACUACAGCCUGGGCAACAUAGCGAGACCCUGUAA
rnacentral:SRP_RNA from 10 species